rnacentral:piRNA from 1 species
CUGGAAGGAUGGUCACAAGGAUAG